AGACCUCCUGUUAUAAUGCAUUGCUCUAGGGUUUCUCAGCACCUGAAAAUCACUCGCUUACUGUGGAUGGUACCACAAAGAAACUAUAAGGACGGCUGUGGAUGUUCUUCCUUAGAUAGCCUUAGGACUGCAGUGGCUAAGAACCGUUUGCACUCAAGUCUCCAUCAUUGAACAGUUAAUAACCUCAGGUUGAUACAAUUGACUUUAUGUUAAAACUAUAAUGAAUUCAGAAAUGACACUGAUGCUCAUACUCAUAAGUAUGCUCAUGUGGGGAUCUGUGUUUUCUUGUUGGUGGUUACCUGCACUGAUAAUCAGUGUGGGGAUCAUGUGAUCUGCAUUGUGUGGCUGCUUGUCUUGGGUCACAUGAGGCAUGUCACAUGACACAUUAGGAGAUUAUAAAGUUUGGCUUGUGGAGUUCACACUCUCUUGCUGCUGCCAUUUGCCAUUGCAACUAGACUCCCGUCAUACAGGGUGACUGCUAGAACAAUGUGUUCCACUCUUCAUGAAGGACACAGGUGACUGCGUGGCAUUUGAAGGACUUGUGGCCUCCUAUUGAGUUGCUGGGCUGCAGACUCUCUGGUAGUUUGUCUUAUGUGAUUUAGUUUUUUAAAUUGUUUUAUAUUGGUAUUUAAAAUGUGUUGAUUAUGUACUUGUAUUUGUAGCACUGGAGUGCCCCAUUUUAUCUUCCUGGGUUAUUGUGCUGCGGGGAGUAUUGAACACUCUUGCAAAGUAGGCCAAUACUUCUUGUAUAUGUUGGUUUUAUGUGUGCUGGUGAAUGAAAUUGGGGAUUAAUGUGCAUUAUUUCUUUUUAAAGGGACCAGGCCAGCCACUGUUUUAUUGUCAGUGUACAAGUCUUUUUUUUUAGUUUGUUUGUUGGUUGUUUUGUUUGCCUUUGGCUUUGUCCUUUUUUUUUGGUCCUUGGCCUAGUGUAACCCUGCCUUGACCAAGCCAGCGCGGUGGUCAUUGUGUUGGGAGCUGGCUGUUCUCCUCUUUUUGUCUCUGUAUAGGUUCUCUGUACAAGGCCGGAUCUGCACCUCACUACUGCUCCUUUCAGUUGGGGGCUGCACUGAGGGGACACUAUUUUGGUGUGUACUGGUAACAUGCAACAUGGUGUGGUAUUUUGUAGUGGUAAUUACUGACCUUGUGUGUGCAGUGUUUGCUAUGUUGCAUGCUUGUAUGGUGUUGGGUUUGUUGUGUCUGUCUCUCUCACCAGGGCCUCCUAGGAGAGGAGCUGUGGGUGCCGUGCCGACCCGACCUUAUUAGUUUGAGAAGCUCCAGCCAGUUUCCCUUCGUCUCUUUUUCACAUUAGCAAUUGUACCUAUUUAAAAUUGUAAUAAAUUUGAGCUUGUGUACA